GGUGACUGAAAUUUAAGUGAUAGACUUUUAAUCUAUUUAUGAGCUAAGCUCCC
rnacentral:tRNA from 1 species